rnacentral:rRNA from 1 species
GAUGAACGCUGGCGGCGUGCCUAAUACAUGCAAGUCGAGCGAACAGACGAGGAGCUUGCUCCUCUGACGUUAGCGGCGGACGGGUGAGUAACACGUGGAUAACCUACCUAUAAGACUGGGAUAACUUCGGGAAACCGGAGCUAAUACCGGAUAAUAUAUUGAACCGCAUGGUUCAAAAGUGAAAGACGGUUUUGCUGUCACUUAUAGAUGGAUCCGCGCCGCAUUAGCUAGUUGGUAAGGUAACGGCUUACCAAGGCGACGAUGCGUAGCCGACCUGAGAGGGUGAUCGGCCACACUGGAACUGAGACACGGUCCAGACUCCUACGGGAGGCAGCAGUAGGGAAUCUUCCGCAAUGGGCGAAAGCCUGACGGAGCAACGCCGCGUGAGUGAUGAAGGUCUUCGGAUCGUAAAACUCUGUUAUUAGGGAAGAACAAAUGUGUAAGUAACUAUGCACGUCUUGACGGUACCUAAUCAGAAAGUCACGGCUAACUACGUG